rnacentral:lncRNA from 1 species
AGACAUAGCAUUCAUGAAUGAUAUAAGGGAAAGCUUUCGUAACAGGAUUAGGCCACCUCUAUUAUUCAUAAAAGAAGAAAUGUUGAUGUAAAGCACAAUUUUAUAAAUUUACUUCAUAAAGUUCACAAAAUGAUUAUGUGUAUAUUUCUUGAUAAAUUUACUUUUUUUACAUGAAUUUUUUCUUAUCAGUAUAAAGUCUUGCUUUUAAACAGAAUUGAAGCAUGGUCAUACAGAUUGAAGUGCAGAUUUAAACUAAAAAUGAAACUACAGAGAAGCCGCUUGAGUUGUUGAAUUCAAUUUAAUUAAAAAAAUUAUAUACAAAGAUUUUGUAAUUCGGUUUCUCUCCCUCUUUUGCAAGAAAGGGAGAUGUUUAGAAGCUCAGAAGAUCGUAUUGUGCAAAAUGCCUCUACUAAUCUAUGUUAGUCUCCUAAAGUGUGAGAUUUAAGGUGAAUUCAAGCAUGAAGUUAUACGUUGGAAGACAUCUUCGGUGCAAGGAAUUGUGAGGCCACCCAUUGGAUGAUCAUAUCCAAACUCUUCCUCAGCUUGACUCAACAACUCCUGGAAUGAAGGUUGGUUCAAGUAUGAUACGGGAAUCACAAACCGCUUCAUUUUCUCUCCAACAUAGACUGCAAGAUGGCCCUUUUGUGCAUCCACUGCUUUAGAAGAUGCUUGAUUUGCUGCGAAUAAGGCCUUUCUGAUAACAGGUAAACGAAAACCCAUUGUUGUAUUGAUUUCAGAAGAUAACGGAUUUAAGAGAAGUCUUGGGAAAUUUGAAUGCUUUCGGAUGUGAAUGAUUUGUAUUGAUCCUAAAUGCUUGAAUAAGUGAAUAUAUAUACAGAUAAAAGAUUAUGCAAAAAGUAUGAAUUGGUUACUUGAAUUAUUGGUGAAGGAGGGAAAUAAAAUAGGACUCAUGGGACCAAAUGAGAGACAUGGCAUGUGGUGUUGUCUUUGAGGACUUUUCUUAAUAAUCAACGUAUCAUGUUAGCAUGUACAUAGUAGAAAUGACCCACCUUUUGGAUCUACGAAAAAGAAGUGUAAUUUGAUCUUAUCGACACUAGCUUAUUCAGGGUGGUGGGUUAUUCAAAUAUCAUGCUGUGUUUCUUAGAAUUUAAUGUACAUCAAAUGUGAUUCAUAAUGCCUUGUGAUAUGGACAAUUAUUCAGCGUUGGUUCUCUUAUUAUCACAGUGGAGCUAUGAGGUAUAGGACAGAGCCAAACCUUA